UACGGAGGGGGCUAGCGUUGUUCGGAAUUACUGGGCGUAAAGGGCGCGUAGGCGGUUUACCAAGUCAGGCGUGAAAGGCCUGGGCUCAACCCGGGAACUGCGCUUGAUACUUGUAGACUUGAGUCCGGGAGAGGAUGGCGGAAUUCCCAGUGUAGAGGUGAAAUUCGUAGAUAUUGGGAAGAACACCGGUGGCGAAGGCGGCCAUCUGGACCGGAACUGACGCUGAGGCGCGAAAGCGUGGGGAGCAAACGGG
rnacentral:rRNA from 1 species